GCAUUAUACUUUAAAAAAAAGAUUAAGUUUGCGUCUUAACAUUAGGAGAGAUUCCUUAGUGCCUG
rnacentral:tRNA from 1 species